rnacentral:misc_RNA from 1 species
UCCGAGUAGACCCCGGCAGUCUCCCAUGAGUCCCCGGCAUUACCCGCUGGCAACAUGGAACGAGGGUUGCGCUCGUUGCGGGACUUAACCCAACAUCUCACGACACGAGCUGACGACAACCAUGCACCACCUGUGUUCGGUCCGGCUUAACCCGAAGGAUCCAUCUCUGGUUCCUGCGACCGACAUGUCAAGGGUAGGUAAGGUUCUGCGCGUUGCUUCGAAUUAAACCACAUGCUCCACCGCUUGUGCGGGCCCCCGUCAAUUCCUUUGAGUUUCAGCCUUGCGGCCGUACUCCCCAGGCGGGGCACUUAGUGCGUUAGCUGCGACACCGAAGGGGUCGUUCCCACCGGCAUCUAGUGCCCAUCGUUUACGGCGUGGACUAC